rnacentral:ncRNA from 1 species
AAGCAAAGCUACUGCUAGUCACUAUUUGUGUGCCGACAUCUUCAAUUGCGUGAAACCCCGUCAUACAGCUUCAAGUACCACUUCAAUUGAGAAAUCUUUUGAAAGGAACAGAGGUAACUCCUCUUCCCAAAGGUAACAAGCUUGAAGACAUGGUGGCAAUGCGCAGCCAAGCUCCUAAGUAUUUAAAUAUAAGGAGAAGGUUCAGAGAGCAGACGGAGAUGGGCGGUAAUUUAUCCGCUUAAGGUGUGCUCCAGCCUAUUUCGAAAGAUUUAG